rnacentral:lncRNA from 1 species
CUUUUGCGUCAUUAACCAUUGCAAAAUCUGUUCUUCGUCAUAUAGAUCUCCUUCAAUGGCAUACGAGUAAUAACAAAUUAACAGGGUCGGUCAACCAAUCAAGGAUCUCUUCCUCGUCAUCGAUAUCACCAUCGUAAUUAGUACUUUUACCUUUUCGGAAAUAAGUUAUACCAGCUUCGUCAUCAAUCAACUCAAUGUGUCUGAGUACUCGAGGACUUUCUGGAUCUUCUUCUUUGUCUGUGAAUAAUAUGUUGAGAACAAAGCCACUUGAACAUGUAUUUAUGGUUUCAACAACGCUCACAUGGUCAACGAUUUAAUUGAAGAAGAGAAGAUAUUUUGAAAGUACUAUCUACAUAAUCAUUUAGAAAAACGGAGAUGUCGAAUAAUAGACAAAAAGGUGACAAAGGACACACCAUAUACAACAUGUAUCUAAGACACGUCAAGUUAAAAAGGGAAUGUGUUAAAGCGCGGAACAAGGACCAGGAAUAUGAAAGUGAAAAAAGAAUAAAUAAAGAACGAUAUUUGCAACACGUGUAUCACAGUGAAGUAAAGCUACCAUCAUGGAUUAUGUUUGUUUUUUUUUUUUCUAUCAAAGAAUGUUUCUUUGAAAUAUUCGUCUAAAUAAUAUCAAACGAAUAAAUAUCAAAUUAAUACAUGAUAGGCCAAAAAUUCGUAGAUUUAUCAGUAAUCGAUGAAUUAUUCUGUAAUCGAAGAAAUUGCUCUCCCAAUAUGAUGCUAAUUUGAAGUAGAUUGAAAAAGAACGAUUCGGGAAGAGGAGGAUAUAAAUAAAAAUAGGGAGAAAAAAAAAACAAAAACUCACAGAAAAGAACCGCUACGAAUUCAGUAUCUUCGACGAUUUUAUCCAGAAUUUUUGCAUUGACUUCUUCUAUCCGAUCUGAUGAUUGGGAUUCUUAACGACUAAAUUCAUGGCUGCCGUUCGUAAAACAGAAAAACCAUAUUGACGUGGCUUACUGUUAAGAUUCGUUAAAAUCGAAGGGAAAAGAAAAAACAAAGUAAAAAAAAAAGGAUUAAACUACGAGAGAAUAGAAAAAAUGCAAUGACAAUAAGAUUGUUUGCUUAGCAAUAGGCAAAUCGAAAAAGUACAAAAAAAAAAGUAAAAAAAAAGAAAAAAAAGAAAAAGAUAGCCCCUGAGGCGGCACGAGACGAUGAGAGCGGGAGAACGUGCCAGCUGGAAAUAGGUUCGACGUGAGAGCUCGUGGUCCGGGUCCUCCUCCUCUACGUAUACAUGCGUAUAAGUGCGUUAGAAGACAUCGUCGACGAACCGCGACGAUUUGUUGCCCGGGCUCUUACACGAAGCUUUUUCCUUCAUUUACUCAGCUUCGUCCUUUUUUUUUCUUUCUAUUUUUUUCUUUUUCUAUUUCUUUUUUUCUCUCCCCCCCCUUCUUCUUCCGUGGAAGAUUAUACAGCAAGUUUCUUCAUUAUCUUUUCAUCUCUCUUCUUUUCAUCCUACCCCACGUGAUCAGCCAAUAACGCUACCUCAAAGUACGAAUGGAUCAUCGAAAUUCGUAGACACACGGUAUUGGUAGUGGUGGUAUUAGUAGUAGUAGUAGUAGUAGUAGUCAAGCUUUUCUGAUUAGUAGGGUAGCAGGAAAGAGAGAGAAAGAAAGAUAGAUAGAAAGAUAGACAGUAAGAUCGUUAGAGA